rnacentral:rRNA from 1 species
UACGUAGGUGGCGAGCGUUGUCCGGAAUUACUGGGUGUAAAGGGUGCGCAGGCGGGACUGCAAGUUGGAUGUGAAAUACCGGGGCUUAACCCCGGGGCUGCAUCCAAAACUGCGGUUCUUGAGUGAAGUAGAGGCAGGCGGAAUUCCGAGUGUAGCGGUGAAAUGCGUAGAUAUUCGGAGGAACACCAGUGGCGAAGGCGGCCUGCUGGGCUUUAACUGACGCUGAGGCACGAAAGCAUGGGGAGCAAACAGGAUUAGAUACCCUGGUAGUCCAUGCCGUAAACGAUGAUUGCUAGGUGUGGGGGGACUGACCCCUUCCGUGCCGGAGUAAACACAAUAAGCAAUCCACCUGGGGAGUACGACCGCAAGGUUGAA